UAGAUGAAAGUUGGUUCCCACGGCGGAAAGGGAGGCUAUCCACGUCGUCCAGAAAUUAGUCGGCCGUUGGAUUUUAAUCGUCCGGCAACAGCAGCCAUCACUGUUUGAUUGUUGAAAUGAGCAUGUCUCAUCCUGUAGCGUCUGCAAAAAUUGACUUUAAGGUUCUCCGUUUACAUCUGCUGUAGCCACGCGUCCGCUGCUGUUGGGUGGAAGCCUCUCGAAUCCCUUCCACCCCUUCCGCCUUCGCUCCCAUCAGCCAAAAAAAAUUCUGCCUCGCUCUAUCUCCUCCGCGUCGCCGGUCGCCACUGCCCCUCUCCCCCUUGUUGCCCCCCCCGGGCCCCCUUCCGCACCGCCGUCGCCGUCCAUGCGGCGAGCCGGAGCUCGGCCGCGUCUCCCGACGGCUCGGCGGGCAGAAGGCGGCGGCCCACUCUCCUCUCUCUCUUUCUCUCUCUCUUAUCUCUCUCGCCGGCGGGACUGAGUGGCGGCAGCGGCAGUGCCUCCACUGCUCCUCCCUCUCCGGCCCUUGCCUCCCCGGAGCUCCCUCCUCCCGGCGCCGCCCCUCCCUUCCUCUCCGCGUCGAGGACCCUGCAUGAGCACGCCGGCCAGAUCCCGCAGCAGGGCAGCUGCGGCGGCUGCGGCGGGGCGGAGCCUCCACCGCGCGGCCUCCGGCAUCCCCUACUCCCUCCGUGCCGGGUCGGCGGGUGAUGAGGAGGUGCGGUGGCCUCCCCUGCGCCCUCCGUGCCACUCUCCCCUGCUCCGAGCGGCACGGGGUCCGCGGAUCGCUGCGCGGCCUCCUCCGACGCGGCUACGGCGUCCGCGAUGGCCUCCUCGACACCGGCGGCAAAAUAUGUGCGCGGCGGCGGCAUCCGGCCAGGCUCGUCUCCAUCUCCUCCUCCUCUCUCUCUCUCUCGUGCGCGGGGCAGCAGCGGCCCUGCUCCCGGCGCUCGCGCCAGCCGUGGCGAGCAGGGCCGGGCACGCGCGGCGGCCGCGGCCCCUGCUCUCUCUCGGCGCGGCUUGGCAGCAGCCUCGCUGGCCCUCCCUCAUCGGCGCCUCCCUCCCAAGAACCGCCCCGCCAGCCAUGCCGCACGCCGGCUCCGGCCCUCCUCCGGCCGCGCCCUCCUCCCCUGCUCUCCUCGGCCUUGCGCCGCCGUGCAGCCUCCGUCCACCCCCUCCCAGGCUCCCUCCGCCGGCGGUGCUGCUCGAGCUCGGGAGCAGCUGCAGCGACGGCCGGCUCCUGGCAGCGGAGGCUUCCGGCUGCCCGCUGCCUGCCUGCGGCUCUCUCUCCUACCACCAAUGCAUUUCUUGGAGACCUGCUACUGACCUUAUUUCUCUCCCCCUCACCCUCACAACCGCACAGGUGAACCGCACAAGGGAUACAUUGCUGUGCCAAUAGUCUGUUCGUCUUCGUCAGUCAUAGUCAGGUUGGCCCUUGCUCUACUUCGUCCUCAUUUUUUUUCCCACAGUGGCUGCUUCUUUUUCUUGAUCUCUAUAUCUACUUUACUUCUUCCCCUGCGCCUCUUUUCAAGCCAGGUUUAGCUUAUCCCUAUGUUGGAUCCGGCUUCUAUCGAUGCUCCUUUUGGUAUGCAGUGUUGGAUCGAUGUGGUGCUGAUCUUGUUCGCCCGUCCCCGGUGUGCAGUUCAUACGGUUUUUCGUCUGUCUGCUGCCAGGUUUGCAGUCCUCGUUCAGAAACUUCAUCAGUUUGCAUCCCGGCCCUAUCCUUCAGCUGAGACAUCUCCUAGGCCUCCAUUCAGUGAAAUUGCUUGGGAAAAAGUUCUUUCACUUUUACUCCUUCAGAUCUUAAAUUCUGAAUACCAAUGUGAUGAAAUGCUGGUUUGAUUUGUAUAUGGACAAAUAGAUUUGUUAAAUUUAGGUUUUAUUGACUAAAUCAAACAAUUGAAUAAUAGGAAGAUGUAGAAACUGAAAGGAUUAGGACACUUUUGCAGGGCCAGAUCACACUUAUACAUCAUUUGGAAAUGACCUUCUUGUUUCCAUAUCUUUCUUGAUCGUGGAUAAGAAAUUUUCGUGACUGUCUACAUUGCUUGGGAACAAGAGGCCAGUCAGAUCUUUCCUUUUUUAUUGUUGCUAUUUUGUAAAUUUUCUCAUGAGAAUAUAUUCCUCUUUUCUAUCUGAAACUGUGUUCCAUAAAAAAAACUGAAACUAGAACACAAAGAGUUGUGAAUUCGAGAUUGCCAAAAGUAACAUAUAAUGCUCCCUUGUGUUUUUUUUUUGAAAAGUCAGGGUUGUUGUUUUCCAUCGCGCAUGACUCUAAAUUUUUGUGCUGGAUACUAUAUUCUAACGUCAGGCAAUGGUAGAGAUCGAUUGUUUGGGCAGGUAUGCCAUUCUGUGAUCGAGUCAGGUGGGUGCUAAAGGUUAUUACAUGGAAAGUAUGUCACACUUUUCUUCUGGCCAUACAUGAAGAACCAAUGUAGAGUUCUCUUAGUGAUGAUUUGAGAAGUCUCUGAGUCACAGGAAAUUAUUAUGUUAUGAUGAAUGUGCCAUGAGGGUCAUUUACCAAGUGUGCAGUUAAAAUUGGGGUUGACUGGUAGACAUCUGGCAUUGCACACAAAUGAAUUCACCUUAAUGAGCUGGUUAUUACCAUUAUUGAUAAAUUUUAAUACCAUCUUUAGUUCCUUCCUCUGCAGGUUGUCACCCAGGGGAACUGCACCUAGCAUUACCUGCCAACAUCCAUCACAUAUACCAUUGUGGAGUUGGUCGAGUCCUCGGCCUGCAAUAAUGAGUUUGCUAUCCCAGCCAUCCUCAUGGUCAUUCAGGCUCAUGGUGGCUCUGCAGCGAGCUAAGAACAGGAGGUCCGAAGAGGAGGUAAUUUUGUAGAUGCAGCUGACUGUCCAUCCUACUAUUCUCCAUCGCGGCGAGCUCUUGCUCUUGUGCUACACGGUCGUUUACAAGGCCGGCAUGGGAAGCAAGGGCACCCGUCAGCAACUCCGUCACCUACGCCAUUAAUUCGGUGAUGCUGGCGAUGUACCCUGUAUGUGAGGCUGUCCAACAUGUGCAAGGAAAUAUGGAAUGGCUUCUCCAAGGAAAUAUGCUGGUUCACUGGAUUGCCUUGCCAUCUCCAAUGAUAAUUUGGUGUGGAUUAUUGGAAUACUUAAAUUUCAACAAUAUCUCCCGUUACGGCACUAUAAUAUAAUAUGAGUAUUUUGCUUUUGGAGGGUU